GCCUGGGAAUAUGCCCUGAUGUGGGGGAUAACUAUUGGAAACGAUAGCUAAUACCGCAUAAUCUCUUCGGAGCAAAGAGGGGGACCUUCGGGCCUCUCGCGUCAGGAUUAGCCCAGGUGGGAUUAGCUAGUUGGUGAGGUAAUGGCUCACCAAGGCGACGAUCCCUAGCUGGUUUGAGAGGAUGAUCAGCCACACUGGAACUGAGACACGGUCCAGACUCCUACGGGAGGCAGCAGUGGGGAAUAUUGCACAAUGGGGGAAACCCUGAUGCAGCCAUGCCGCGUGUAUGAAGAAGGCCUU
rnacentral:rRNA from 1 species